rnacentral:rRNA from 1 species
ACGGGUGAGUAAUGUCUGGGGAUCUGCCCGAUGGAGGGGGAUAACUACUGGAAACGGUAGCUAAUACCGCAUAACGUCGCAAGACCAAAGUGGGGGACCUUCGGGCCUCACACCAUCGGAUGAACCCAGAUGGGAUUAGCUAGUAGGUGGGGUAACGGCUCACCUAGGCGACGAUCCCUAGCUGGUCUGAGAGGAUGACCAGCCACACUGGAACUGAGACACGGUCCAGACUCCUACGGGAGGCAGCAGUGGGGAAUAUUGCACAAUGGGCGCAAGCCUGAUGCAGCCAUGCCGCGUGUAUGAGGAAGGCCUUCGGGUUGUAAAGUACUUUCAGCGGGGAGGAAGGGAUGAGGGUUAAUAACCUUCGUCAUUGACGUUACCCGCAGAAGAAGCACCGGCUAACUCCGUGCCAGCAGCCGCGGUAAUACGGAGGGUGCAAGCGUUAAUCGGAAUUACUGGGCGUAAAGCGCACGCAGGCGGUUUGUUAAGUCAGAUGUGAAAUCCCCGGGCUCAACCUGGGAACUGCAUUUGAAACUGGCAAGCUUGAGUCUCGUAGAGGGGGGUAGAAUUCCAGGUGU